rnacentral:rRNA from 1 species
AGCAGCCGCGGUAAUUCCAGCUCCAAUAGCGUAUAUUAAAGUUGUUGCAGUUAAAAGCUCGUAGUUGAAUUUCGGGGUCAGCAGGUUGGUCGUGCCACCGGUAUGUACUGGCUUAGCUGAUUCCUCCCUCUUGUAGAACCGUAAUGCCAUUAAUUUGGUGUUGCGGGGAAACAGGACUGUUAACUUUGAAAAAAUUGAGUGUUUAAAGCAGGCUAACGCCUGAAUACAUUAGCAUGGAAUAAUGAAAUAGGACGUUCGAUCCUAUUUUGUUGGUUUCUAGGAUUGACGUAAUGAUUAAUAGGGACAGUUGGGGGCAUUAGUAUUCAAUUGUCAGAGGUGAAAUUCUUGGAUUUAUUGAAGACUAACUACUGCGAAAGCAUUUGCCAAGGAUGUUUUCAUUAAUCAAGAACGAAAUUAGGGGAUCGAAGACGAUCAGAUACCGUCGUAGUCUUAACCAUAAACUAUGCCGACUAGGGAUCGGAUGAUGUUAAUUUUUAAUGACUCAUUCGGCGCCUUACGG